UACGUAGGGUGCGAGCGUUGUCCGGAAUUAUUGGGCGUAAAGGGCUCGUAGGCGGUUUGUCGCGUCGGGAGUGAAAACCUUGGGCUUAACUCAGGGCUUGCUUUCGAUACGGGCAGACUAGAGGUAUGCAGGGGAGAACGGAAUUCCUGGUGUAGCGGUGAAAUGCGCAGAUAUCAGGAGGAACACCGGUGGCGAAGGCGGUUCUCUGGGCAUGAUCUGACGCUGAGGAGCGAAAGUGUGGGGAGCGAACAGG
rnacentral:rRNA from 2 species